rnacentral:rRNA from 1 species
AUGCACAAUGGGGGAAACCUGCAUGCAGCUAUACCGCGUGUGUGAUGAAGGUCUUAGGAUUGUAAAACACUUUCGGCAAGGGAAAAAAUUAAUAUAAAUAAUACUUAUAUUAACUGAUAUUACCUGCAAAAGAAGUACCGGCUAACUCCGUGCCAGCAGCCGCGGUAAUACGGACGGGUACAAGCGUUAAUCGGAAUUAUUGGGCGUAAAGAGUACGUAGGUGGUAUAUUAAGUCACGAUGUGAAAUACUUAAGCUUAACUUAAGAACUGCAUUUGAAACUAAUAAACUAGAGUUUUAUAGAGGGGAGUCAGAAUUCCAAGUGUAGCGGUGAAAUGCGUAGAUAUUUGGAGGAAUACCAGAGGCGAAGGCGACUCCCUGGGUAAUAACUGACACUGAGGUACGAAAGCUUGGGGAGCAAACAGGAUUACGAUACCCUGGUAGUCCAUGCUGUAAACGAUGUCAAUU